CUUUAGAUGAUUUAGGAAGUUGCCAAAGAAGGUUCUUAGGCUUGCUUUGUUUUCAAGUCCAAUGAAAACUUCCAAAGAAGCUUCUUAGGGCCUAAUAUAUAUAGGAGUUGAGGUUGAGGGGAUCCUCAAUGUCAACAAUUCUUUUCUUAUGGUUUGGCUAGAACCUUCAUGCCUUGUAUCUAAUUAUUGUACUAAUGUCGAGCCAACUCCAUUUCUUGGUCUUGAAUCCUUGUCUUAUAUAUGGACCCUAAGAGUUUGUGAAGACUACUAUAAAAUAUUAUUAGAAGUUUGGUCUUUUUUAACAAAAAGUAGAUUAUUCCUCUUCUUGAAAGUACUAUAGCAUUCUAGAGGUUACGGAUUACCUUCUUCUAGACUAAUAUUGUUCUUUUCUUA
rnacentral:lncRNA from 1 species